rnacentral:lncRNA from 1 species
GGGUAACCUGAGUAUCAGGCUCUAUUUUACAAAUAGAGCCUGACACAAAACUUAACCUGAUCGCUUUCCGCCCACAGCAAAGUUUAUAUUUAGUAUCCAAUCAAAAUGUCGCAGGAGAAAUUUAAAUUUCACACAACGACAACAACAAUCUAAUUAUAGCAUAGGCGCCCACUAAACGGCUGAAUUAAAAUUAAAACUGCAAUGAACUUAUAAAAUUAACAAAAAUAAUCACAAAUUAGCGAAAUAUAUUGCAAAUGUAGCUUAUAUUAAAUCGCCACCCGAUUGCUCUCUCCUCCGCAGAGGUUUCAGUGACUACAAUGAGCUUUACAUGGCGCUUGCCGUAUUUAUCAACAAACAGUGACGUAUAAUUAUAAAGUAUAUAUAUUAAGUAUACUUUAUAACUAUAUACGUCAGUCGAUAGUGCAAUCUGAUGGCGAUUUAAUAUAAGCUACAUUUGCAA